rnacentral:misc_RNA from 1 species
AACGCACGAGACCUGCGGACCUGCGGAGGGAUCAUUACAGAGUGUUCUACUCCCUUGUAACAGAAGCGAGUUUAACCUCCCGUCCUUUGCUUGACCCCCCAAUCUGAGGGGCCUUUAAACCUUUUUGCUUCGGCGGGGUUUUCCCCACCGGAACAUCCUCAAAAAUUCUUGGUCAAAAACUGUUCAGUCCGAGAAACUUUGAAAAAUUAGCGAAAAACUUUCAACAAUGGAUCUCUAGAU